rnacentral:rRNA from 1 species
AUGGCCUCCGCCGCGGCGUCGCGCCCCCCGGCCCCGCCGCCGCCGCCGCCCCCGCCCCCGCCCCCGCCGUCCGCCGCCAUGCAGUGGCUCGGCCCGCGCGUCUCCUUCAGCCUCGAGGACGCCGCCGGGUGCGCCGCCGCGGGGGGUGCGGGAACGGGCAAGGCCAGCAACGACUUCGAGUUCCUGCUCGCCGGCUGCUCCCCCGUGUCCACCAUGCUCCCCGCCGACGAGCUCUUCUCCGGGGGCAAGCUCGUGCCGCUCCGCCUCCCGUCUUCGAGUGGUUGUUCGGCAGAGGUGGCGGUGGCCACGCGGCCUCCGCUGGCCCCGGCGGCGACAGCGCAGCAGCAGCAGCAGCCCGAGACGCCGAGGCCGGAGGAGGAGACGAAGGAUGCGGCGGUGGAGGCGGAGCAGGCGGCGGAGGAGCCCAAGGUCCCGGCCAGGAGGUGGAGGGACCUGCUCCGGAUGCGGAAGCAGCAGGCGUCCUCGUCUUCCUCCUCCUCGUCGUCCACGGAGACCAAGCAGCCGCUCCGCCGCCUCCUCCGCCGCGGGCCGAAGCCGCCCGAGCAGGAGCCGUCGCUGAGCCUCCCGCUCCUCCGCGACCCCAACGAGCCCGCGCCGGCACCCGCAUCGGCCCCAACUCCAUCGCCGACCGCGGCGCCUCCCGUCAGCACGUCGCAGCACCAGCUCCCGCCCAAGAUCCGGCUCACGGCGCCGCCCCCGCCUCCUCCGCCUCCCCCCUCCGCCGUGGCCGCCGACAGCCCGCGCCUGAACGCGGCCGGCAAGGUGGUGUUCAACGGGCUGGGCCGCAGCUCCAGCAGCCCGAGCAGCCUGGCGGGCGGGCGGCGCCACCGGUCCGGGUCCGGCGGCAGCGGCAUGGAGCGGUCCUACUCGGCGCACGUGCGCGUGACGCCGGUGCUGAACGUGCCCGUCUGCCGCAAGUCCGUGUCCGUGUUCGGCAUCGACCGGCUCUUCUCCCCGUCGUCCGCGUCCACCGCCGCCGCCGCCCACGCCGCCGCCAAGAAGCAGGGCAAGGUGGCCAAGAAGGAGGCCGCCGCACCACCGCCGCCGCCAUCCUCCUCGCAUUAA